rnacentral:lncRNA from 1 species
GUGAUUAUCGCUAUCCAACGGGCCAGAUCAGAUCGGGUCGGUCGCUACCAUUUACGAGCAGGCGUCGUGCAAGUAGCAAACGCCAUCGUUAUCCCAUCGGUUUUUUUUUUGUUUACACAGUAUAGACGCGGGCGUUCAUGUAUACACGUAUAUACUUAUUCCUAUAAACACACAUAGACCCUACCCCUCUGAGCAUUUUUCGAGAAAGUGAGCCGGCAUAUCAUCUUGAGAUUGACGAAGUCACCACGCGCACCUUAUAGUCGACGUGAACGUCUCCUCCCACUGAACGCGCAUCGUCGAUAAUUCUAAAAUAAAUUCAUGAAUAAUGCAAGCAUCAGGACUUGAACCAUGAUGGGCUAGGAUACCACUGUCCUCCUAAGCAUCCAACCACAUAUUGGUUCGCUCGUCAUCCCAUCGUUGUUGCAUAGCCAAUGGUGAUGGCCAGUUGGCAAUAGCUACCAUAAAGUGUUGCCAUGAGCCGUCCCGUGGCUGCUGCUCCAACAUCUAGCCUCACGUGCCGCCAGACCAAGAGAAGCUAUCGUUGCACACCUACUGAGAUCGCCAUCGGCAGAUAAGGGCAUGUAUAAUGGUUGAUAAGAUAGUCUUAUCUUAAAUCUUGCAUGUUAAUUAGAGAUGACAAAAAAAAUGUCUACAAUGGGUCAUCUCUUAGCCUUAUUUUCAGUAACUAGUUGUUCCUAAAAACGUGGCGAGACAUAUUAUGCUAAGAGAUCAUAUCUUGUCUUCUCUUAAAUAAGAGAAGACGAGUCUUUUCUUAUUAGUUCUCUCUCCUCCACUUCAUCAUUUAUCCUACACGGCACUCCUAAGAUAGCACCAUUGUACAUGCCCUAAUGCAGUGAAACAUGAAAUGUGCACUGGAUUGGCCAAGCAGCAGCCCGCCCACCUUGUAGCCAUGCCGCCAGUGGCGAAGCAAUACUUGAGCUGGCUAGUCAAUUGAUGUCAAUUGACUACACAGAUUUUUCCAAAAACAACAUACAACCAGCAGAAAUUGCGCCAAAAAACUUAUAAAUGCAUCAAUCUGACUAAACAACACUUAGUUGACCACACAUGAUUAGAUUUCUGGCACCGCCACCAACGCGGCCCACCCCAAAAGACAAAGGAGGAAGGACUUCUCCUUGACUUCCCUUCGUGGGCAAGCCCACUGUAGAGCCGCACUGCCUCGUCCACGACCACGACCAUUACAUCUCAUGUCACCUACAUUUGAUUUUCGAAAGCCAUAAAUAUUAAUUUUUUAAAAAUGUGCAAGCUUCUUGAAAUAUGUCAAUAUAUGUUCUUUAUAGUCAUGAGUAUUUAAAAAUCUAUUGUGCCCGUACUAAAUCAACGACAACUAUUCCCUUUGAUUCUGAAUAUAAAUCUUUUUAAAGAUUUUAAUAUGGACUACAUACGGAUGUAUAUAGACAUAUUUUAGAGUCUAGAUUCACUCAUUUUGCUCCGUAUGUAGUCCGCAUUGGAAUCUUUAAAAAUACUUAUAUUUAGAAUGAAAGGGUAUUUUUUUAGAAAAAAGUCCAUUUUACUACCCUGAGAAAACAUGGUGAUUCACAUAACCCCUGGUUUUUUUCUGCUCCUUUACCCCCUCAACAAUCUCAUACCGGUCAAAAAAUGUCCCUCGCUAGUUUGCUCCAAUCAGAUGCUGAGGUGGACAAAGUCAAAGCGGUAUUGGACCAGGGCCCACCCGUUAAAAAAAUCCACCUGCUAAUUAAACUCCGUCUCUCUCUCCGCCGGCGCCACUCGUCGUGCACGCAGCGAACAGGAACACCGUGACCCCGCUUCAUCCCGAGCCCGCAUCGCCGUGCAUUGAUCUCCAUUGCUCGCCGUGCCCCAAAAAGCUUUGGAACGAAGAGCCAUGGAGGAGCUCAAGCCACUGCCCAGCCCUGCAGCUCGUGUCAUGCCGCCGGGAUCCACCUGCACCCACCCCGCCAUCCUCUCUACAUGGUCUCUCUUUUCUUCCUCACCCCGCACGCUCUCGUUCCUGACUUCCCGUGCAGCCGCCAUGGAAUCCUUCGCACCGACGCCGGGAAAGACCGCAUCGGAGCUCCACGACGCCAGGUCCUCGCGGCGUCCUGCUACGUCCCCGCGUCCUGAUCCACGCCCCUGCGCUGCCCCUCGCCGGGAUCUGGCGGGAUCUAGCGAGUCCCGCCGCCGCCGUCCCGCAUCGCACCGCAGCGGCCGGCUUCCCGCACGACCCGCUCGAGUUCCAGCACGCGUUGACCCCGUCCCCAGCCCCUCCCCAACCCAUUCUACCACACAUGCAUGCUAGCCAUGAGCCCCUAAUGCUGAUGCACCUCUCCCCCUCUUCCCUGUGCCUUUAGUGCCCUGCCACCUAGCUUCCGACGGCGCUGCCGCUGGCCUGGGCCAUGCCGGAGACAUCGGUUGUCCCCCUGGCUGGUUUGACUAGUAAAUUGCUGACUAGGCUGACUUUCAACAGGUGGGCCCCUCUCUCACUGGACGAGACUUGCCUGCUCCCUUCCCAUGCUCCCAUCCGUGCUCCCGCAUACGUGGCUUGAUUUGAUUGGAAGAAAAUAAGGCCCGGCCCCACCCCCUGAAAAUCGGGGGAUGAUUAGAUUAGAAAAGAAAAAAGGGAAAGAACAGCCGUAGGAUGAAGUGGGAGCACGGAUGGGAGCAUGGAGAGGGAGCAGGCUAGCCGGAUCCGGCUCCUAGGGGCCUAAUUUUGCCGUUUUGUAGGCGCUGGCCCACCUGCUAGCGUCUCUCUCCUGUCCCCUCACUUUUCCUCACUGGCCCACACACGUGCUCCCUCCUCCCCCUCCACGCACACACGGACACGGCAUGGAAGCCCUCCACUCCUGUCCCCGCCGCCUGCCACGCCGCUCCGCUCUUGUGUCAAAUACUGCUUUGACCUUGUCCAUGUCAGCAUUUGGUCGCGACAUACCAGCCAAGGACAUUUUUUGACUGGUAUGGGAUUGUUGAGGGGGAUAAAGGAGCAGAAAAAAACAUUAGGGGGUAUGUAAACCAUCAAGUUUUUUCAGGGUAGUAAAGUGAACAUUUUUCCUUUUUUACUUGUCAGCACAACUUCACCAGCUGGUUCUCACGCUUAUGUGUAUAGUUGUGUUCGAAUUUUCACAAGAAAAAAUAGUUUUGUCGGAAUGUUUGAAUUAAGUUGUUAUGUUGACACGUUAAACCUUGUAAAAUUUGGUUGCUGGCAUAUUUUCAUGUAUAAGGAACGCAGAGGAACAAAUUAUAAAGUUUGCACUUAAAAUCUUGGACACUUCUAGGAAGCCUUGCUGCCUGUGAGGUGCUCAGUCAAUCUCAACAUGGUCUUCAUAUGAAAAUCCAGUUUCAGUUGUACCAACAAUCUUGCUGCACAAUUAGAGUGUAAAAAUGCAAGAUACAAAAUCCAGUUUGAUUUCCAGCUCAGCUUCGCCGGUGAAACUGUAACAUUCCUUGCUGUCGGACCACGGGCGUUUCAGUGCUACAACCCACAAUACAACAUGAUGGACUCUGAACUUCGAGCUGAAUUCAAAACAAAACGCGACGGUUUCAGAGAGGGAAGAGCGGUAGCAUCUCGGUUUCAGGCGGAUUAGCAUUGACAAAUCACAGGAAGUAACAAGAACAAGAUUGCAAGCUGCAAUCCAUUCCAACCAGAUCCACCACCAACAUCGAUGACACACCAAACCAAAACAUGCACAAGAAGACUGAUCUAAUCUAGAACUCCUGGGAAGCAGAGCCGAUGUCGCCCUUGCCCUUGCCGGCCUUCUUGGGAAGCAGCGUGGGGUGGAUGCUGGGCAGCACCCCGCCGGCGGCGAUGGUGGCGGAAACUUGCAGCCGGCCAGAUCGAUGUGCCAGGGCACGAUACGGUUCUUCUUGUUGUCCCGCGCCACAUUGCCGGCGAGCUCCAGGGUCUGAAUCAGAGGGAGAGCAAGAAACGGCACUACAAAAAAAUACACUUCCGUGAUGAUAUGUGUUUGUCACAGUAGGUCGCGUUUUCUGUCAUGCAUGUACAUCCAUGACAAAUUUAUGACAGAAUCAAGAUAGUCAUACCUGUGCUGUCGUAGAAGUGUUCCAUGACAUUGCCAAAAUUAUCAUCACGGAAGUGUCCACUUCCAUGACGAUAAAUCGCGCGUCACAGAAGUGCUUUCGUCAAGGGUGAACGACACGUGGCAUCCACCGUAACGGAACGUCGUUAAGCUAUCGGGUCGGGUUUUGGAUCCGAUAACCCGUUAACAGCCCCGACCAAUGGGGAUUUUCCACGUGUAAAAUCAUCAUUGGCUGGAGGAAACACGUGUCGGCACAUCGUUGGGACAGAUGUCAUCCACUCAUUGGACGGAAGGCGCCUAUGAUACGUCGACACGUGGCACGGCCCAACAGAGGCCCAUUCCUGUGAAAAGGCCGGCCCGUUUGACUUGGUCAAAAGGUGGCGAGCCGGCCCAUGGAAAGCCUGUUAACGGCCUUUUCGCAUAUAGCCCAUUUACAGCCCGCUAACCCAAGGCCCGUUACGCCCUAUCCGAAUUAGGCCCAGUAGCGUCAUCUGGGCCAUCCAAUAUGAUUCCAGCCCGUUUUCACUUCUGGCCCAUGUAUGGCCCAUGACGUCUUUCGGCCCAUAUGAGGCCCUAUGUAACUCUUGGCCUAUUAACGGCCCGUGGUGAAACUGGCCCGUAAUGAACAGUGUAUCACUUUACACCCAUUAACGGCCCGUGGUGAAACUGGCCCGUAAUGAACAGUAUAUCACUUUAUACCCAUUAACGGCCCAUGGUGAAACUGGCCCAUAAUGAACAGUGUAUCACUUUAUACCCAUUAACGGCCCGUUAUUCCGUUGGGUUGUUUCCAGCCCAUGUUAUCUUUCGGCCUUCUCAGAGCCCAUUUAUUCUUGGGCUCUCUUCCAGCAUUCGUUUACUUACGGCCCAUUACUGUCAUUUUCUGCUUGUGGGCCAAAUUCAGCCCGUGGUUACAGUCGGCCCGUUUGUGGUCCGUUAAUACGUUGGGUCGUUUUCAUAGCGUCAUCAAAUACGGCCUAUUAACGAUGGCCCGUUAUGGUCGGCCCAUGAACAGACGAUUCCAACUCUAACCCGUUUACGGCCAUAAUGCGGCCUGUUAUUGGCCCAUGUUUGGCCAAUCGAUCAUACGGCCCGUAUAAGGCCCAUUGAUGAUACGGCCCGUAGAAGGCCCAUUGUUUCUACGGCCCGUAGAAGGCCUACUAUUUCUACGGUCCGUAGAAGGCCCACUGUUUCUACGGCCCGUAGGAGGCCCGGUGUCACUAUAGUAAAUAUUAGCCCAUGGUUAUUGUGGCCUAGUUUUAAAAAAUAGGUUAUUGCAGCCACUAGCAAACCGCGGAAAAAGAACUGCACUGACUACAAGCAAACAAAUAAACAAGACAACAAGGAAAGAAAUAAGCAAGCAACUUAUGCUAGCUAUCACGGCUAUUACACAUAUUACAUCCACUGGGCAUCAAAGUUCGCCACCAGUGCAAAUAUAGGGAACAAAGCAGCAUAUAAACGCCGCAGCAAAACAUGUCCAGAACUGAAACCACUUCAGAAGAGUUCAAGAAACAAUAUCCUGGGUACCCAUAAUGCUGGCAAGAUGCUUAGCAAGCUUAUUAACUUUCUCUUGUUUGGCGCUUAAAUCCUCCAGCGCUUGCUGUUGCACAAGAAAGUAUGCAUCUGAAUUCUGCAGGGACUUCCUCAGUCCUUCGGCUUCUUGCCGCAGCAUAGCUGACUGAUGCCUUUCAGCUUGUAGCUGAGACUGAAGAAGCUGAAGUGAUUCAGGCAGCAAGUUCGAAGAGCUUGUGCCAGCGGUACUGGCCAGUAACUCGAACACUACAUCAACGCAGGACUGUGGGGUUUUCUCACUGUCUACAAGAUCGUUUUUAUCACCUUUCUUGGAGACCAACAGGGUUGUCUCACUAUCUUGAACCUUAUCUGCAUUACUUUCUCUACCAUUGUAUAGUGGGGUGCUCUUCUCCAAUAUUCGGUUUGCAUACUACAAGAGAAACAAGCAGACACAUCACAGGUUUAGCUUGUAGUAUACGAAACUCAUUUGGUAAACCGGUUCAGUAGUAAGGUGGACAGGAUAACAGCAUGAAACAAACAUAUAUCUAUGUACUAUGGUCACUGUAUUGUCCAUAUCAUUCUAGUUUAUAUUCCCUAAUCAAGAUAGAGACACAGUUCAACUCAUAUAUUUUUAGGACACAGCAGCAUAGACAUAAUAUAAGUGUGAGAAACUACACAGCAUUGGCAGCACUUGUAAUGUGCAUCACAUGAGAACAUAACUGUUUAUACAACUUAAACUGAAAUCAACAUAGAGCAACAAGUUAGAACAGCAAUCCAGUUAAAGAAAUAGGUUUAAAACAUACCUGUUGCGCCAUUGGAGUUUCAAUUGGAUCCUUCAAAUUCGAAAGUAGUUGGUAUGAGUAAAUACAAUGAUGCAACAGCAAAGGAGUAUGCUCUUCUGCUUUAAACAUGGAGUUUGGGUUAGCUGUGGUGGUCUUCGUACAUUGAGCACUGCGGUAGCUUUACAAACUGCUCGUGUGGGGGUACUCUGUGGUGGACAUGGUGCUUUGUCAACUAUAAGUGGGUUACUAUCCGCUAGGGUUGCGGUUAGAUGGGUUGUAGCUGGUUCUCUGCCCAACGGUGUAAGUGUGCAAUCUGGAAGAGUCUCGAUUAUGUGUGGUGGGGCUAGUUUGUGGGCCAGUACAACCAUGGUUCUAUAUGCAUCGACGGGUAGCACUGUCUUUUGUGAAGAACGGGUUUUUGCUCCCUUAGAUACUGCCAUCACCCCCUCCAAUUCAAAUGGCUGGUAAACAAGAAAAGAAAUUGAACGUACAGACAUUGUAUGAUAGACAGAUGUGGUAAUUCACAUAUAUGUUGUCUAACCAAACAGGACAGCAUGACACAAUUUCACAUAUAUGAUGCCUAACUAAACAGGAUAGCAUGACACAGUUUCAGAUAUAUGAUGGAUAACUUAACACGAUAUAAUGGCAUAAUUCAACAUAUGAUGAGUACCUAAACAGGAUGACAUGACAAAACUAUAUGAUGUCUUUCUAAAAUAGGUUGGAAUGAAAUAAUUACAUACAUGUUGUCUAAGUAUACAGGAUGGCAUGAUAUAAUUGACAUAAUUGAUUCAUAUACUAAGCAGUUGGCACUCGCAUGUAUGAUCUCUAAACUAAGCAGAUAGAAUUCAAUAUUGUGCAUAUGAUGUCUAAACUAAGCAAUGCAAGACACCAUAUGCAUCAUAUGAGAAAUAUAAGCAUUGCAACUUAGAGCAUACACCUCAGGUGGGAUAUAGGACUGGUCAUCUGUCUUUGAAUCCUCCUCUGAGGAGCUUCCUGUAACCAUCGAGAUAUAUGCUUCAACAGGUACCAUUGCCUGCUCUGAAGACCUUGUUUUCACUCCAGAUUUUUCCAUAACCGGCUCAAAUGGCUGAUACACAUGAAGAGUAGUUCAAUAUACACAGAUUGUCAACAAAUGGAAUACGUAAUGAAAAAAAAGAUGGCAUGAGAUAAUUCACAUAUAUGAUGCCUGGCUCCAUGGCGGUGCAUAAUUCACAUAUAUGAUAACUGGCUGAAAAACAUGGCAUUGCAUAAUUCACAUAUCUGAUAUAGAAAGCAAACAGGAGGCAUUCACACAAAGCAUGUCUAAUCUAAGCAGAUGGCAUGGCAAUGCAAGACACCAUAUGCAUGAUAUGAGCAAUAUAACCCAGCCAAGUUAGAGCAUGCACCUCGGGGGGAAUACGACUGGUCAUCUCUCUCUGAAUCCUCCUCUGAGGAGCUAUCUGUAAGCAGCAAGAAAUCUGCAUCGACAGGUAGCACUGACUGCUCAGAAGACCUUGUUUUCACUCCAGAUUUUCCCAUGACCGACUCAAAUGGCUGAUGCACAGGAAGAGUAGAUUAAUGUAUAAACAUUGUUGACAAAUGGAAUACAUUAUGGGAAAAAAUAUGGCACAAUACAAUUCACAUAUACGAUGACUGGCUAAACAGGAUGGCAUUGCAUGAUUCACGUAUAUGAUGCCUGGCUAAAGAAGAUGGCAUUGCAUAAUUCUCAUAUACUCCCUCCGUUCCUAAAUAUUUGUCUUUUUAGAGAUUUCAAAUGGACUACCACAUACGGAUGUAUAUAGACAUAUUUUAGAGUGUAGAUUCACUCAUUUUGUUCCGUAUGUAGUCACUUGUUGAAAUCUCUAAAAAGACAAAUAUUUAGGAAUGGUGGGAGUAUGAUAUAGAAACCAAACAGGUGGCAUUCACACAAAGCAAAUCUAAACUAAGCUGAUGACAUAUAAGGUGUAUAAUGUAAGCAAUGCAAGGCGCCAUAUGCAUGAUAUGACCAACAUCAGCAUGCCAGGUUAGAGCAAACACCUCAGGUGGUAAACAGGCGUGGUCGGCUCCUUCUGAAUCUCCAUCUGAACAGUUAUCUCCCUCUGGAAUACAAUCUGGAAAUGCAGGAGAGGGGGCCACUUCGCCCACCAUGGAGCCGCGUCUGCAUGACAUUAUAUUCGCACGCAACGGUCUUCUCUUUUUCUCUACAUGUUUAGUACGAUUGUGUACAAUAUCUGACAUGCAUAAUAAAAAAUAGUUAGAUUUUGUAAGGCCUAAGGGGUGCAUGCAAAAAUCAAGACUGAUGGUAGCAAACGAGUGGAUGGAUCCAAAACUAAUGAUAGCAGGUAGAUUAUAGCUUCAGUUUAAAAAGAUAGACAAUGGAUCAUCUAUUGUUUGUUGCCCACCCAACAUGAACCACAUAGAAGACCCUAGAUGAACCAGAUAGUAGACAGAUACUAUUCGUUGCUGGCUCGAUAUGAGACCCAUGGGCAAUUCAAAACUCAAGAUUGAAUGAUAAAGUAGCAGGUAAUAAUAACCGAUGUAUAACGUAAGCAAACACGAAAGACUGCGACCUCUCUUCCGGAACUGUGUAGUCCUCAGGUUCAUCUGCUCACUCGAUGAUGGUAAUGAAGAUGGCGUGGCUGCCGGCAACGGGGAAGAUGAUCUGAGGCGGCAAAAGGAAGUCUGCAGGGGGGAUCUCUGCUGCAGUGAACGCUUCUGUCGAUGGUGCACCUCAGGUGGGGUGGAUGACGGCACGGCAGGAGCAGGACAUAACACACAGAGUUUUCUUUGACGCCUAUCUGAAAAUGAAGUAAAUCUGUAAGGGCUCCUUACAAUUGGAGGAUUCUAUAAACGCAGGGACAGGAAAAACACAGGAAUAGGAUAGGAAUGCACGUGCAAAACACAGCAUUUGGAAACAUAGGAUUUCAGUCAACCUAGGUGUUUGGCUCACAUGAAUUGGAAGAACAGAGGAAUGGAGAAACAAACUGAUGCGACGAGUGUACAACCUCUUUGGCAUAGCCUUGUGGACCUCAGCAUCAUUGGGUUGGACGUGGAGGAUGGUGAUGAUACUGGUGUGACUGUCGGAGGCGGGGAAGAAGAUCCGAGGCCUCUGGAAACGGCGCCGAGGGUACUGCUCCGCUGUGAUGGACGGUUCCGUCGUUGGAGAAGCUCCGCUAAGGUGUACGGCGACGAGGCUGAAGCAUGACAAGACAGACAACGCUAAUCUGAAGUGGGACCCUAAUAUCAUCUGCAAUAGAUGAUGUAAAAUACAUCACCAAAAAGUGCUAGAUGUAAAACGCAUCAGCCGCGCCACGGCCGCUCCGACAGAUGCUGUAAGUACUGUUCACUCUGAACUUAACUGAAGAAAAUGAACUUCACAGUCGAAACUGAAUUUUACUGUCGAAACUGAUUGAACUAGUAACAGAGCAUUGCAAUAGAUGUUUAGGGCGUUCGAGCACUAGUAGCAGAGAAGCAGUGAUCUAAAUCAGCAGACGCUCAAGCAGGGAACGCACUAGCAGCGAGCAAGUCGUGCAGUAGCACCGCGAGUGAGUGCUAAAGCAGCAACUCCUGUAGCUGCCGGAGGUCGUGCAGCAGCAGCAGCAGCAGCGCAAGCAAGAGCAAGAGCAGAGCAGCAGCACGAACGAAAGCAGGAGCAGUGCAGCAGCGCGACCGACAGCAAGAACAGAGCCGCAGCGCGAGCGAGAGCCGGAGCAGCUGCAGCUAGUGCCGUUGUGGAAGUCGCCGCCGAGGAAGCAACGACAUGGGGGAGAGACGCCGUGGAUGAUGUGGCCAGCGACGGCGCCGUCGAUGGAGACACGCCAUGUCUGCUCGGUAUCGAGCACCGGCAGCCCCGUGAGAUCGAAUAAAAGAUAAAAUGCAGCGGUGAGUGCAGAACCUCCUUGGUGGCGCCGAGUUGGCCUCGGCUUCAUCGGAGGAAUUGGUGAGGGUGUUGCGGUUCCGGUGGGGCAGGUCAAGACGGCGCUGUGGGGAUUGAGGUGGCGCGAUAGACGAGGCGAACAUCAGGGAAGCUCCUUGGAGGUGGAGGACGGGGCGGCUGAUCCGGCGGGACGACGAGAUCGACAACGGAUCCUCAUCCGGUGCGGUGGAUGAGGGACGGCGAGCUGUUGCGUUGGACGACGUAGUCGGGGAAGAGUCUCCGGCUGGGCGGCGGUCGGGAGGCCGACGGAGGAGCGUGGGGUUUCGCGGGUUUUGGCGGCCUCGGUGUACGAAUGGGGGGGCGAAGGGGGAGGGGGAGCCAAGCUUAGGGACGCGCUUGUCCGAAAUGUAGGGUAAGUUACCAUCGUACCCCCACCGGUUUUGACACCGCGACGUGGAGCUUCAUUUCCGGCUGAGGGGUAGAAGGGGGAUUUCUCGUGUCUGGGCUGCAGGAGCGAUUUCGGAUGAGGAGGGAGUUCUCGCGCGCGUCCAAAUUUCGGGAUAACAAGGCGCGGCGCGGGUUGAAGAAGCGGGAGUUUCAAAGCAGGUGAGACAAAAGAUACUCGAGCUUGAAAAUUUCGGGAUAACAAGGUGCGGAUUCCUUGUUCGGCAGAACAAACUUAACGUGUAAAAAAACAAUUCAUACAAGACACAAGAGAGUCAUGUCCCCUUUUACUAUAUUGCUAUAGAUGCCAUUGAAAAAACUAUAAGAAAAAUGUAAAAAAAAUCGGGAGAACAAGAUUACCCUGCACAGUACCAAAUCGAUUCGCAUUUCCCUCAACAACAACAAAAAACAAUUCCCACCAAAGAAAGAGUAAUGUCCCUUUUUAUAUGAUUACAGAUGCCAUGAUCUCGAAUUUCAAUUUUUGAAUCCACGUUAUGUUGAAUUCGAAUAUAUCGUUAGGUGACCUUGCGGUUUAUAAUUGAUGUAGUCGUACAUUUUGAUCUUCCAUCAUAUAUGAACAUUUUACUCCACCAUGUGAACAUAUAUAUUGUCGUCUACCAUAUGGACUAAAUUUGAACCAAUUUUCCUUAUUUGAAUACGAUUGUUGUCAAGUUAUACAAUAAUUUAAAUAUUAUCUUGAUAACAAAAAACAUGCAUAUAGCAGUAAUCAUAUUUCACUAUGAACUACAUGUACCAUACGCUCUCCAAUUCAAAUAUUUGUAUCCAUUUUAUGUUGAAUUCAAAUCAUAGUACAUUAUUGGUCUAGGUAGCGAGAUGUUUGGGAUAAUCAAAACCCUGUUUUCAUACAUAUAAUUUUUGGCUGAAUUGGGACAAGUUUUGGUAUAAGCCUCUUGCAAAACCGGAGAUUCUCUCAACAAGCCUCGUGGUUCCGAGAGGGAACGUGUCACCUUUGUGUGCGAAACGAUAUACGCUGCCUCCCCCUGAUUUUAUUUACAGAGGCAACAUAGAACUAUAUGAGUGCCCUGUUAAAUUUUGGAAUUAUUUCGGGUUCAUUUGGCCUUUUUAUACAUUAAUUGAGUUUCUGGACUUUUAAUGUGCAUAAUCUAAAUAUGAAUUGCAUGCACAUGCUCCGGUGCACCAAAGUGGGUUGAAAAUCACAUGUGUGUCCUUGGUUUAAUUUCUAGGUCCCAUGGAAGAAAUGAGAAUGAAAUUCAAACAUCUGGGCGUCAUGACUCAGCCGAGAACAUCGAGAAACUUUGAUUUUAAAUUCAUGUAAAUCCAAAACUCGCCUGGAAAUCAUGAAACUUGGCAUGGUGUCAUGUCAUGGCACUAACAUGUUGUGGUAAAAAAUUGGGCCGAUUUGGAAGCUCGUGGUUCUAAGAGGGAACGUGCCACCUUUGAGUGUGAAACGAUAUACGCUGCCCCCCCCCCUUGAGUUUCUUAACGAAGGCAACAUAGAACUACAUUAGUGCGCUGUUAAAUUUUGGAAUUAUUCUAGGUUCGUUUGUCGUUUUUAUACAUUAAUUGAGUUUCUGGUCAUUUAAUGUGCAUAAGUCAAAUUUGAACUACAAGCACAUGCUCUCGUGCACCAAAGUUGGUUGAAAAAUCACAUUUGUGUCCUCGGGUGAAUUUCUAGGUCCCAUGCAAGAAAUGAGAAUAAAAUUAAAACAUCUGGGCAUCGUGGCUCGGCCGAGAACAUUGAGAAACUUGGUUUUUAAAUUCUUGUAAAUCCAAAACACGUCUGAAAAUCAUGAAACUUGGCAUGGAUGUCAUGUCAUGGUACUACCAUGUUGUGGUAAAAAAAUUGGCCGAAUAGGAACAGAUUUUGGUAUAAGCUUCUUGCAAACCGAAGCUUCUCUCAAGAAGGCUCGUGGUUCUGAGAGGGAACGUGCCACCUUUGAGUGCGAAACGAUAUACGUUGUCCCCCUUGAGUUUAUUUACAAAGGCAACAUAGAACUACAUGAGUGCCCUGUUAAAUUUUGGAAUUAUUCCGGCUUCGUUUGGCCUUAUUUACACAUUAAUUGAGUUUUUGGUCAUUUAAUGUGCAUAAUUCAAAUUUGAACUACAAGCACAUGCUCCCGUGCACCAAAGUUGGUUGAAAAAUCACAUUUGUGUCCUCGGGUGAAUUUCUACUCCCUCCUUCCAUCUAUAUAGGUCCUAAUGUGUUUUUCGAGGCUAACUUUGACCAAACGUUAGAGCAAUAAUAUAUGACAUGCAACUUACACAAAGCAUACCUUCAAAUUUGUAUGUCAAAGGAGCUUCCAAUAAUAUAAUUUUCAUAGUAUACAUCUCAUGUGCUAUUAAUCUUGUCAAUAGUCAAAGGCUGUCUUGAAAAACACAUUAGGCCCUAUAUAGAUGGAAGGAGGGAGUAGGUCCCAUGCAAAAAAUGAGAAUAAAAUUCAAACAUCUGGGCAUCGUGGCUCGGUCGAGAACAUUGAGAAACUUGGUUUUAAAAUCAUGAAACUUGGCAUGGUGUCAUGUCAUGGUAGUACCAUGCCGUGGUAAAAAUAAUUGGCCAAAUAGGAACAAAUUUUGGUAUAAGCUUCUUGCAAAUCGGAGCUUCUCUCAAGAAGGCUCGUGGUUCUGGGAUGGAACGUGUCACAUUUGUGUGCAUAAUUCAAAUUUGAAAUACAAGCACAUGUUCCAGUGCACCAAAGUUGGUUGAAAAAUCAUAUGUGUGUCCUCGGGUAAAUUUCUAGGUUCCAUGCAAGAAAUGGGAAUGAAAUUCAAAAUUCUGGGCGUCGUGGCUGGGUUGGAAACAUUGAGAAAUUUAGUUUUUUAAUUCCUAUAAAUCCAAAACACGCAUGAAAAUAAUGAAACUUGGCUUGGUGCCAUGACAUGGCACCAACAUGUUGUGGUAAAUUUGCAGUCCGAUUUGCGAAGGCGCACACAUUAACAAUCAACAAAGUCAUUUUGGAACAAGUGUUGUCACGUUACAAUCGGAAACACAAGUAUUAUUGAAACCGUGGGCGUUCUACUUACUAGUACCAUUUAUGUGCCGCCACACGUCCCCAUUUUUUAUUAGCUAGGAGGCGUCGUGCAGGGUAGCUAUUUGAGUACGAGAGGCGUGCGAUCAGACCCCUGCGCGUGCUUAUCGGGAGGAGAGCCCUUUGACCUCCAUCUGCCGUCCACCUCUCUCCCAAGGUCUCCAUUAAUGGCGCCCGAGUCUCUGUUUAAUGGCGUGGCUAUGUCUCACUCGACUGAGAUUUAAGAGAGAAAAAGGAAAAUCUGAAAGCACGGAACUUGAUGUAAGAUCCGAUGGACCUAUAUAGCAUCUACUGCGACUUAUAGCAAGACUGAUGAAUAUAUAAGGACGGUUAAUUUAUUUUUUUGAUCAAAGAAGGGCUUGCCCCUUCCGAUUUUCAUUACUGAAAACCACCACAAUUCACAAGAAGUUCAGCACAACUCCUGCCUAACACGAAGGACUAAAAGCUACCAGAUUGAAAUCGCAACAUCCCAAGAGGCCAACAAAGGCCAAACAUCCACGCUAGAACCCAACAUUUCACAACCGACGACACAAUCCACAUCCUAAACCGAUUAUUACAUCAAAAGAAACCAGGAAACUGAAGGAAGCCCAGCAGCAACUAGAAGAACAGCAACGCCAGGGUCGCCACAGCAAGAGUUUUCUUCAUUCCAGCCUCGCAACAUUGAUCUUCCACAGAAAGAUAAAGAUGAUUAAUUGUCUUACAUAAUUAGAAAGAUAAUUAAAAAAGCCACAUGCGGCUACGCCCGAAAUACACAAGGGAAAAAGAAGAAGGAAGACAAGGAUCUGGCUCGCUGAUCUCUACUUUCUUGAUGCGUUGCUGCAGGCCGCGGGAACUAGUCUCCGCGGCGAGCGGCGAUGAGCUCUUUCGUGUUCUCAAGACGCUGCUUUAGAACAUCCACGGAUUCCUCCACCAGCCUUUGGCGCUCGUUGCGGAGCAUGUCAUUCUCGUCCAUAAGUUUCUUGACGAUGACGCCGGUCCUCUUCAACAAGGCACUGGUCUCCUCCUGCUGGUCUGCACUUCGGACGAUCUUCUCCCUCAGCAGGUCGCGCUCGGCCCGGAGCCUCUCAUUGCCCUCCCUUAGUUGUCGGAUGAUGCAGGUAGCCUGUUCAAACGAGGCUUUCAUGUCGUCCUGCAACCUCGCCCAGCCGGAGAUCUGAUCCAUCUGGCUAUGGACGAUCGCAUGCAUGCGCCUGUAACAGUCGUCGCCUGCCCGCGAGAAAUUUUCCCAGGCCGCUGCGGCGCGGCGGGACAUCUCUGCUGCUUCCGCGGCGCGGCCGGACCAGUCUGCUGCAUCGACGGUGCAGCGGGACCUCCGUGCUGCUUCAGCGGCGCGGCGGGACCUCUGUGCUGCUACUUCCACGCGGCGGGACAUGUCGGCUGCUCUCGCAGCGAGGCGGGACAUCUCUCGUGCUUCCGCUUCCAUGCUCGCAUCUCCCUGGUGGCAAUCUCUCGACCCAGAACUCACGCUGGCCAUGGCAGACGCAAGGGAAGGAUGCUGAAUGACUUGUUUGUUUUUGUGGAUGAGGAGUUGAGGAGGAAUGUGCAGUCAUCUUGGCAUACUAGUAUUUAUAACCGAGUACUAAUACGCUCCUAAGUGGGAAACCGUUUAGGUUGUGAUCGGUGUGAACAGGUUUGCAAUUCAAUAUAGCGUGGUACUAAUAAGCUCCUAAGUGGGAAACCGUUUAGGUUGUGAUCGGUGUGAACAGGUUUGCAAUUCAAUAUAGCAUGGAGUAAUUUGGAAUGUGACGAGACGCAAGCUCAAAAUUUAUUGACGGUUCUAGUUUCGAAGUGCGGCACUAUUCCCGGAUGGAGUACUUCUUUUUCUACUCCCUCCUUUCCGGUUUUAUAGGGCUUAUCUCAAAAUUUUAGUUUUUCCAUUUUAUAAGGCUCAAUUUGGUUGUUCCCCAACACACGUUCAGAUUCCAAGGUGCAUUAAAUCAUUGCAUGCAAGUAUUAAGAGAAAAUUGACCAAUGCAUGUACUUUAUGCAUGCAUGCAUGCAUUACAAUUAAUGCAUUGAUAAACAUAAUUUUUUGAGAAAAACAAGAGCAUUAAUUAGGUGCUUUUGUAAACUACAGAAAAUAUUCCACCACUCACCAUCUUGGUUGGUGAGAUUUUUGAAUUAAGCCCUAUAAACCGGAAAGGAGGGAGUACUGCUGUGUACGUGCAAUAACUGGCACCGUCGUAUACAUAUCUUACAGUUAAUGGGGCGUUCGACAGGAAUAGCCGCGUGGCGAGCUCUCACACACGCGUCUUUUUUUUCUCGAAAAGGAGGAUGAUGACCCCCGGCCUCUGCAUCUGGGAGUCACACACGCAUCUGUAGCUAUGAAUUGUAGUGUUCUCAACCAUCCGAUUGGCUCUAUCAUGGAUGUACCUAUAUAACUAAACAUGUCUAGAUACAUCUAUAUUUUGAUAAAUGGAAGGCAUGUAUUGUGGAACGGAGGGAGUGCUUGUCAUCAAAAUGGAUAAAAAGGGACGUAUCUAGAACUAAAAUACGUCUACAUACAUCUCCUUUUAUCCAUUUUGAUGACAAGUAGUACUUCUUACCCAAAGGAACUUUAUAUCCAACAGACACAAAAUAUCCGUUCGACUGUUGGAAAUUACUGAUCUGAUGUCGAAGUAAUUGCUGCAUCGCCACCAAAACCCACCAUUUCUUAAGCUAAAGUAGACCAAGGGGCAGUGGAGCACGGUGAGGUCCAUCGAGACCUUAGAGAGCUCCAUCGUCGGGUCCUGUUCGGUCUGCAUGAUCUCGCCCUCCUCGUGCACAACCAUCUCUCGACUUGGGCCGGGGUAUUACAAAGCUUUACUGUCACAUAUUUUAUACUACUUCAAGGUGCAUUAAAUCAACACAUGCAAGUAUCAAAAGGAGAGUCACGGCAUGCAUGCAUGUGUUGUAAUUAAUGCAUCGGUAAACGCAAAUUAUUGAAAUAUAUCGAGUGUCGUGCUUUGAUGUGUCGCGUCAACUCGUACAUCAACGAGAAGUUUGAUUAUCCUCUCUCUCGUAGACUUAACUGCACCUACCUUUGGCUGUAUGACAGGUUGGCCACACACCUGUCAGGCCCACCUGUCAUACACGCAAAGGCAGGAGCGUCCCUCCCUCGCCCAUGAGCGUGGUGGCUGGCAAGACUAGGAGAAGCUUUCGCUACACGCUCUCCCUCCCGCACGCGGUGGACAUGCAGCAGUUCAAUCGGUGUCAGAUGGCCAGAAGCGUACUGUAGUACUCCUCCAGUGCAGUAGUACUCCAUCAUUGUUCGACUUCCCGAAGAGGCGAAGAGCCAAGCGCAGCCCGGACACUCGUGUGGCAGUUUCAUGUGUAGAGUAGUCUAGGAUAGCGUGUAUCGUGCCUGUAAGCUUAAAAUCGUUGGGGUCGGCUCCAUGCUAUGUGGCCGUCUCAAAGUUUUUUUAAAAAAAUUAAAAUAGUCUUCUAGCCCUACCUGAUACCCUGGUGAUUGUAGUUUGCACGCUCAUCUGGUCAAGACAGGAAUAUAUAUUUUAAUUUGUUUUUUUUUCAAAAAGGGGGGACUCCCCGGCCUCUGCAUCAGAACGAUGCAUACGGCCACAUAUAUUUUAAUUUGUGGUGGGUAAAUGUUAGAGGUUGCAGCAAAUAUAUUGUACACUGCGGGUCUUUCAGCCAAGUUUAGAGGCAAGCAUGUGGGGCCAGUGCUAUGAUGUGUCGCGUCAACUCGUACAACGAGGAGAAGCUUGAUUUUACUACACGCCUUCUCCCUCACCCAUGCGCGCGGUUGCUCGCAAACGAGGACAGGCUUUUGCUUAGUAGUACUUCUACAAAAAGCUAUCCGUCCCGCUCGCGGUGGACGGACAUGCAGCAGUGGAUUCGACACUGUAGAAGCAGUAGUAGUAACAUCAUUGUUCGUCUUCUCGAAGAGGCGAAGAGCCAAGCGCAAACCGAACGUUGCAGUUGCGAACAUUGGAGCACGCAUAUAGCCAGGCUCUUGCAUGAGACAAAAUUGCUAUGUGAGCCCACUAUUGUACUAGUACGUACAACUACUUGCUAGUAUAGCCCUGUAAACCAGAAAGGAGUAUUUGCCCUUCUAGAGAUUUCAACAAGUGACUAGACUACAUCGAGACGGAGUACAUAUGGAGCAAAAUGAGUGAAUCUGCACCGUAAAUAAAUACGUACUAGUUCUAUCGUUUUCCUCUCCGAGGUGCACAAUAUUGAGUAUACUGACUAGUCUCUUUUUGACACGCAUUUACGUUUUUUUACACAGUACAGACGCAAGCGCUCAUAUACACGCGCAUACACUCACCCCUAUAAAUGCACACACGCAUGGCACUAUCAUCUUGAAAUUUACGAAGUCACCAUAGGCACCUCGUCGUCGACGGGUCCAUAGGUGCUUGAAUGCCAAGGAGGGAGAGGGUAGCGGUUCCCGAGACGUUGAACGGUCAAUGAUGCAUGCUCAAUUACAUGCAGAGGGAAUUAAUUGGAGAAGCAGAAUAGAGCCAGCACGAUGUGAAUGCAACACAAUUUGGACUCUCAUAUAAUAAAGGCACCCCACCACUCCAAUCCAUCUACUCCCAAGUCUCUGCGCAACACUGCUCACUCCAAUCCAAGACCAAGUGACCAGAAGCCACAAGCACCUAUGGAGGCGAUGGGCGCGAGCGGCAGUCGGCUGUGCCAAAUCAUCCAAGGCGCCGGCCUGCGGCCCUGCACCGCGCAGCGUUUCCAUACGGUGCUGGCGACCGCAGGCAUCGUAGCCCUCGCCAACGCCGGCUUCGCCACUCGCAUACGACGUGAUGGUCAACUCCAUCCGCAAGUUCACCGCCGUCAAGAAGCGCACGGACGACCUUGCCGUACUGCUUCAGCCCGCGCGCCCAGGCUCCUCAUUGCCUGCCACCCUCAUCGGCCUCCAUGGUGACGAACUCUUUCAAGCCCUGGUGGCCCUGCAGGUGCCGGAGGUCGCGACGAAGAAUGUGCACCUCGAGGCCGCGCUCGCCGCGCAGCACCUCGCCAUGCAAGAAACCGUCGACCUGCACAUCCACGUCUACGAGGAAAUUGUCUACAUAUGCCACUACAAGGCAAGCGAGGACAGAAAGACGUUGGCCUUCUUCCAGCGGCUGGAAUCUUUGGACGCCAUUGUUCAGGAGCACGUCGACCUGGCCACGAAAGCCACUGCUACUUAGGCGUCGUUCGGUGGGCCGGCGCCCUGAGUCGAGGAGGUGGACGUCGUCGAUGGAUGCAUCUCUUCUUGCCUCCUGUAACCAGCACUGCAUCGCCUCGUGGCCUUAAUGUUUUAUUAGUAUAGUACUCCCUCCGUUCUCAAAUAUAAGUCUUUCUAAAGAUUCCAGCAAGUGACUACUACAUACGGAGUAAAAUGAGUGAAUCUACACUCUAAACUAUGUCUACAUACAUCUGUAUGUUGUAUUCCAUUUGAAAUAGUAUCUAAAAAGGCUUAUAUUUAUGAACGGAGGGAGUAUAUGGCAUUUUUAUUCCAGUCGUAACGUUUUCACUGUGAGGUGGGCCGCAGUUGAGCAAACCCACCCCACCCACCGGGCGUCGGCCGAGUUUAGAAUUAGAAGAGAGAAACGAGGGAGGAGAGCUAGCUGUAGCACGGACACUGUUGUCAGAUGGGACUCGUGUUUAUAGAAUAGGAGUACUGAGCACUCGUGCCUCUUUUUUUUGAGGGAAAAAUUAGUCGUAUGUCUAGUACCACUAGUUGGGUGCGUGCGACCUAUAGCUGUCAUCACUUUAGGUCUCCUUUUUGAACCGCGGCUACGCUUCACAGUACAUAUUAUUUCACGCAUUUAUCCUCCUAUAUGUACUCCUAGGCUAUUUCCACGUGCUCCCAUUCGCCGACAUGUGGGACAUAGAGCAUCUGGGUCGUAGUGCAUGCACGACUCGGAGCAUAUGCCGGGGUACUUUACAUUUCAGACCUCACGAAUUACAUGCAAACCCCCCGUAGAAGAAUAAAUAAAUGAAUGAAUUACUACAUGAAACCGGAUUAUUUUCGUGGAAACCGGAGCACGUUCAUUAAAUUUUGNNNNNNNNNNNNNNNNNNNNNNNNNNNNNNNNNNNNNNNNNNNNNNNNNNNNNNNNNNNNNNNNNNNNNNNNNNNNNNNNNNNNNNNNNNNNNNNNNNNNNNNNNNNNNNNNNNNNNNNNNNNNNNNNNNNNNNNNNNNNNNNNNNNNNNNNNNNNNNNNNNNNNNNNNNNNNNNNNNNNNNNNNNNNNNNNNNNNNNNNNNNNNNNNNNNNNNNNNNNNNNNNNNNNNNNNNNNNNNNNNNNNNNNNNNNNNNNNNNNNNNNNNNNNNNNNNNNNNNNNNNNNNNNNNGAAUAAAUAAAUGAAUGAAUUACUACAUGAAACCGGAUUAUUUUCGUGGAAACCGGAGCACGUUCGUUAAAUUUUGGACAUAACACAUUUAUAAAAAUUGACCAGACCGAAACCAGUCUAAGGGCCUCUUUGAUUUUUCCCGCAAAAAAAAGGGCCUCUUUGAUUCGUAGGAUACUGAAAACACAGGAAUGGGGAAAGUAUGAUGGCGAUGAACCGAGACGAGGAGAAUCUAACUCAGUUAGAGGUUAGAGUUAGAUUCUAACCCUGAACUAACUCUAAACCAAAGAGGUGUAUGGAUGGCAGGGUUAGAUUGACAAUAAAUGCUCUAUCUCAAUCAUUUGACUACUUUGGACCCUAUUUCCUGCCGGAUUUGGAGGGUGCUUGGAUACGUUUUAGUUCCAUGACUAAAAUUAGUGGGACUAAAACUUGCUAGCCUCACCCAUGCUUGGAUCCAAAUACUAAAGAGACUAAAAUCAAGUUAAUGAGCAUUUAUUAUCCUCCAAACCCUCCAAUCCAGAACUCGCCUGUGUUAAAGGAGAGGAGUUAAAUGAGGAGAGAGAGGACUAAUCCACAUUUUAGUAGGGGUACCCCUGACUAAAAUUUUUUAGUCUCAAGACUAGUUUUACCCCCUCUUUAGUCAGGGGUGCUUGGAACUUUAGCCUCUUAAAGAGACUAUUUUUAGUCAGACUAAAAUAAGUCCUUUGGAUCCAAGCACCCUCUUGGUGUGGCCGGCUCUUCUGUGGCCUCCUCCCGCUCACAAUUGACAUAAACGAACCAUCUAUACAAAUCAAGCAUGCAAAACAUGAUAAUUUUUACUUUGUCCAUACAAAUGAGAUAUCCCACUUAAACAUACAAGUUGUCAAUCAUGCUUCACAAAAUAAAAAAACACUUCAUGAAACAAAGAAUGAGCUAACUCAUCACGGAAGUCAUUCACGAUAGGGAGGGAGCCCGGAGCCCCUCACGCACCGAGGGAGGAGCUCGCCAUCGUCGCUCUGGAGGAAAGCUCUGUAGAGCCCAAGCCCCGGGAACCCCUCCGACGCCGGCCCUUGCGAGUUGAGGUCGACACCGGCAUGGGUAGCAGGGCCGCUUGCCGCCGACUGGGAACUUAAUCUUUGGGCCUCUAGAAAUAAUGCAAGCCUGUAACUAAAAUACCUAGAAAGGUGAACUGAAUCUUUGGGCCUCUAGAAAUAAUGCAAGCCUGAAACUGAAAUACCUAGAAAGGUGAACUGAAUCUUUGGGCCUUUAGAAAUAAUGCAAGCCUGAAAGUGAAAUACCUAGAAAAAGGUGAACUGAAUCUUUGGGCCUCUAGAAAUAAUGCAAGCCUGGAACUGAAAUACCUAGAAAGGUGAACUGAAUCUUUGGGCCUCUAGAAAUAAUGCAAGCCUGAAAUUGAACUAUCUAGAAAGGUGAACUGAAUCUUUGGGCCUCUAGAAAUAAUGCAAGCCUGAAAUUGAAAUACCUAGAAAGGUGACCUGAAUCUUUGGGCCUCUAGAAAGAUUUAUUACCUCCUCAAGCAGCAUCAAACAAUUCCAUGCGUGCACCACAAAUCUAUACCAAGUUUGAUCAGGAUCUACUUUUCCAAACCAGAAUUAGCGCUAGAGCAAGCAAGAUCAAUGAUAUGGCUGUGAGACAGAGAAGGAACGAACAAACUCACCCCUCUCGCGACCUCCCUAGUAGAUGCGCCGCCGCCACGCACGACAGAGGGAGAAAAAGACUGGUGAAGGGGGAGCGGGGCGAACUUCGAAGGCCAGAGGGAGAGGGUGGCCGGAGUAGGGCGGCGGAGGCCAGAAGGAGAGGGCGGCCGGAGGAGAGAGAGGGCGAGCGGCCCUAUGGGGAACAGAGAGGAGUCGUGCGAGAGGGGGGAGCGAUCUGGUGCGGGCAGGGGAGAUUUUUUUAGUUCUCUUUUAGUGGGCCCGAGGAUAACUAACCCAAUUAGAACCUCUCCACCGGGCUAGUUUUUUUAGCUGGGUUAGAGCAAACUAGCUCAAACUAACCCCUCUUGUUUCGAUAAUUUCAGGCUAUUUCAACCCAAACUAGCUCUAACGCAGGGAUCCAAACAAAGAGGAGUGUUACUGUACAUGCUACAGUGUGGACCGUAGCACAUUGUUUUUUAUGGCCAUAUCACCACAUUGUUUUCUACUGCUGGUUCACUGGGCUACCGUGGUUCGCACUGCUGGUUCACUGGGCUGUCGUGGUUCGCACUCCUCCGACCUGAGUAGUACUCUAGUAUAGUACUAGUAUAUACCACAUCAUUCUUUGCUCCUUCUUACUACUCCGACAUGUGGGAGAGCCAGCAUCCGGGUCGAUGUGUCAUGCACCAGAUUAGAGCGCGGAACGGAAGGGGGGCAUCACCCCGGUCGGAGCGCCAGUAAUUCAUGACUAUAGUGAGUGGUCAUAUCACAAGUCUUUCCAGCAGUAACGCGCCGUCAAAUCGCACAGCCCCACUCGCUCACCCUCCUCGCCUCUCUGUCAAACCGCCUACCCGAAAACUGCCGCGCGUACUGCCCGGGAAAAGCCCCACCCUCAACUUUUAACUACGCGAAAAUAGUUCAAGCUUGUUCGUUCUAUAUAAAUACAGUACUUACUGUAUGUUUAUUCACCCGUGGGGUUGUUCAAUGAAUGGAGGGGCGGGGAGCACAAGUGAACAAUACUGUAGUACUACGAGUAGUAAGUAGGAGUCGUACAGUAGUCACCUUAAAUAGAGAGUUUCUUUUCUUUAAUGCCACGUACACAAAUUGAAACGCUUGUUGUGGAGAGAAAAAAGAUAAUCACUCCACUAUAUAUGGACGCAGGGGCCUGAGCGCUUGCUUUACUAGGGUUGCUCUCUUCAUUCUCUCAUCCUCUCCAGAUAUAAACAAGACAGCGGUAGCGACAUUUUCUCUCUGCUCACAGCUGGUCACAGAUCCGGCCGGAUCCCUUCGGCUGGUGUGUGUAGAGGACUAAAAGGUGCAUCGUUCACGCGGUCAUCGCCGCCGAGGGAGGAAACCCACAGCUGCCGGAGGGGCCCGAUCCUCUGCCCGUGCCGUUCUCUCCGACACAGCGCCGGCUCGGGAGGUCCUCCGACCCUUCUUCCUCCCUGCCGUAUUGUCCGCAGAUCUGACCUACCGCUGCCAACAUCCCGGCGACCCUCAGGUAUAAGUUCUUCGAAAGCGGCCUUGCUCUACUGCCCCAGCUCCCCACGUGUCUGCAUGUGCAUCUUUUUCUACUCCCAUCAGCUCUUCCAAAGCCACCUAAAUUUUUAGUAUUAUUAGAGGUAAAGCUACUUCAUGCAUUUGAAUCUAGGGCUUUGUCCAAACAACGAAGAAAGGGGGAAAGUUGUAGCAUGAAUCUAGGACUUGAUUCAAAGAGGAAAUAAUAUGGUGAAAGUAGUAGAGACCGGAUAUCCAACCGGUCUCUUGGUUGAAAAGGGAAAUAAUGGGAAAACGCAGUACAAACUGGAUAAGGAAUAGAUCUAUUAUUGGUUGAAAAAAGGAUAGAAAGUGGCGGCUGGUGGACAAGUCAACAAAGUAUGUCCAGGAUUAGAUUUGCUGCCAUCACAUAGUAAAAGGUCUCCAGGAUUAGAUUUGCUGCCCUCACAUAGUAAAAGGUCUCAGGAUUAGAUUUGCUGCCCUCACAUAGUAAAAGGUCUCCAGAAUUAGAUUUGCUGCCCUCACAUAGUAAAAGGUCUCCAGGAUUAGAUUUGCUGCCCUCACAUAGUAAAAUGUCUCCAGGAUUAGAUUUGCUGCCCUCACAUAGUACAAGGUCUCCAGGAUUAGGUUUGUUGCCCUCACAUAGCAUGAACAAACUCGGCAUCACCACUUUAUGCCUCCUUGUAGGUACAUUGUGCUGAUGCGUCCACUGUCGCAUGUCCUUAUACCAACCUUUUGUUGUUGUUAAUGUAAGGGCGCAUGUAAAAUGAAGUGAUCACACUGUUACCUUAGGGACAUGUCUAACCAGUGUUAUAGUUAAUCUAAUGCCUCCAGUAAUAAGAUGCAAUUAAACUGUGUUACAAAUGGCACUCCUGCUGUUUUCCCCAGUAUGAUAAGUAAGUUGCUCCUUUACGCUGCUGAGUGUCCUGGUGUCCCCACGGUCCCAUGCCCUUAAACCAACUCUUUAGCUGCUGUUGAUUUAUGUGUCUGGUAAACAAGCAAUGCCACCAUUAAAGUAAUCCCAUAUUUGAGGAAUCUCAUUGUUGAUCGUAAUGCUUCUGGUAACAUGAAGCAUUGCUGACGUUUUAAAAUUUCUACUGUCCUUGCGUGAUUGCCAUGAACAUAAUUAAGAUGCUUCUUUUCAUUUUGUAUAUGUUUCGUAUAUUCUUAUUGACCAGCAACUGUUUACUUUCUAUCUUUUUGUGUAGAUAGGGAUAUCCAUUUGACCUUGUUGCUAUUGUGACCUUUUGGUGAACUGCACAAAACACUUUUUUGGAAUGAGUGUCUUGUGCAGUUCAACUAAAAUGUUACAUGGGCAACAUCUCUCAAUUUUGGUGGAACUGCACAAAAUGGUGAUUGGAGUUUCCAAAAUCUCCAUCAAAUUCUGCUGCUAAUCUCGUGCAACAUUUUAUUAGCCUUUGCAAGAUGAGCGGUAGCUGAAUGAUGCAAUGUUUGCUUCAUUUCAGGCGAACUGCAGAAAAAGUGGCAUGAAUUGAAUCAUCGAGUGGAGCUGCAGGUUGACUUCCACUAGUGCCACUAUUAUAGUAAUCAUGCUCUUUAUUAUCUGCGCUGUGCAAACAGGAAUACUCAACUACAGAUGUUGUGACGGUCAAGAGCAUUCGCCAAGUUCUUCGAUUGUAUGACAUGGCUAGCCAAGAUGGAUUUAAUCCCGAUAUUCACUUUAUCAAAAGGCUCUAAUGGGUUGGUUCUAAAUCCUGCAAGCUGGGAAUCAGUGAGAUGUGUAGGCAUCUUUGUUGUACUUAUUAUUUGAAUAUUAUUUGUUGGUUCUGAAUCUUGCAAGCUGGGAAUCAAUGAGAUGUGUAGGCAUCUUUGUUGUACUUAUUAUUUGGAUCUUAUUUGUUGGUUCUGAAUCUUGCAAGCUGGGAAUCAAUGAGAUGUGUAGGCAUCUUUGUUGUACUUAUUAUUUGGAUCUUAUUUGUUGGUUCUGAAUCUUGCAAGCUGGGAAACACGGCAUGAUGAUGCAGAGGACAACAACCAUAACAAACAGUUCAAACUUGGUAGUAUUAUCUUUGUGAAAGUGCGACAAAUGUGCUGAUCGUGAGCGUCUUGAGAAUAAUAAUUGUAAUUGUUGUGCAUGUUGAUCCUGUGGCACUGAUAGAACGAGCGAAUGCAUUGCUUGUUUUAAGUAUAAAUUUCUAUUAAAGCUAAUUAAAUUUAAGUAAAGUGACCACUAACUCCUGUUAUUACAGUACCAAUACAGACCCGCUAGUGAACCGAUGUGUAGCCGAGGGUGCAUCUUCUGCCGGGCGUGCAGCGGACGAGGGAGGGGUAGUAACUGUUGUCGCCUGUACACACUCAGCUUACUGUUGAAUCCAGUUCCCCAAGAGCUGAAAAACGAACUGAUGACGCCGCCUACACACUCGUUCACUCGAAGAGACUCCAAUGGCGAUCCGAGGGGUGAGCCUGCUAGAUAUGGACUUCAGCAAGGAGUUCCCCUUUGAGUUCGCCGUUCAGUCCUAUGGCUGCACCAAGUUGAAUGUGAUGUACACCAACGAUACGGACUCGGUGAAGCUCUGCCUCGCCUCAGUCCUAUGGCUGCACCAGGUUCUGGAGCAUUCGCCCGUUUCAUCGGCAGCGCCGACUGCACCUUCGCUACGGUGGAGAGAAGGAAGAACACGAUGAUUCGACCAUAUGGUGCAACAAGCUUGUCGACAUCCAGAAGCAAUACAAGAUCAUCAGCAAUGAGCAGGAGAAGGACUCCGUGGUUGACCUCGCUGAGACCAUCAUCGACCCCUGAUACGCCAACAUGAAAGAAGACGACCUGAACACGUGGGAGGUACCUCUGAAUCUAGCCUACAUAACCUACGCGGCCAAGGACACAUACGCAUGCUACGACAUGUACAGGCAGAUCUUGGACAUGAGGGCGUGUCUGCUUCCCGUAACCGACGAGUACACGGACAGCCGCAGCGUCAUGAUCAAGCGUGCCAGGAAGGUCUAGAUGUUGUACUUUAUCUGUUUAUAAGCAUCUUUAUCAUCUGAGUGUUUCAUGCAUUAGCCUAUGUGUCGUAAUUAUCUGUUUUGUCCGAAAUAUUUCUUUUAAGAACCCAUUAACCUGAUUGCUUUUUUAGUGGCUAUUUGCUUAUGUAUGUAAACUAGUUCACUUGUCCGUAAAAAAAACUAGUUCACUCGGCUGCCGUGCUUUGAAUCUCCUUCCUCCCAACAUAUUCCCCUCCUCAGGUGGACCCAGCAGGUCUCUGAAUUUUCUCCCACUUUCUUUUUCGAUGUAAACUGAGUUUUCUCCCAGUACUUUCCCCUAGAACCAACUCAACUGUCCCACAUCUAGCCUAAAAAAUAAUAAUACCCCACGUACUAUUAACUCAUCAAAUUAAAAUGAUAUUUUAUUUCGUAAGUUGAAAGUUCUUACAAAAUAAUUAUUAUUAUUAUUUAUAUAUAACUUGGCAAGUUAACUCCUAGUGAUUGCGUACAUAAGCUUGCAAAGAUUUUACUGACGUGCAAUCAUGUGUUUAUAUUUUUAUAACAUUUCUCCGUCUAGCCCAACAUGAUAUUUUCACCCAACCAAGCAAGUCCACGGAUUUCGAAAAAAAUGCAAAUGGGAUUUAAACGGGCUGCAUAGAUGCUACAUCAUUGUUUCACCCAGCCCACCAAAUGGACAAAAAAACAAAUGGACUGGCUGACAUGUGGGCCAGUAGGUCCAAGCCUAAGAAGGCGUUGGAUUUACAUCCAACGGCCGGCAUUCUUCUUCAAUCUCUCGUCUUCUUCCCCCAGCGCUGCCGGAACCACCUGCUCCAGCCUUCGGCGUCCAGCGGCGCUGUUUUGCGCUCCUCAGCGAAACGCUACCCCGCCGACAGCCAGGCCAUCCCUCCACUCCGCACCACCUGUUAUUCUUUGCCGAGUGUAGGCCCACCCCGCACCCGAACCAGUCAAGUUUCCCACUCCUCUCCAUCUGCGACUCCACUGCCGCGUCUUCCCCAUCUCCGGGUCGUUCCAGUCUGGGGCCUCGCCGUCGUCCACCGCCUCAGUGCGCUCGGCGCGGCGUGGUCAACAUACGAGAGUCAUCGGAAGAGGAAUGUACGUGGAGAGCCUGACGGCUAGGACCCACGAGGUCCAUGGUCGCACGCAAGGAAAGUUCCUCCUUAUUACGCACUGUACGUGCACUGUACGUGGGAAGGGCUUCUGUAUUUCGCGAAAAAAACAUUUCCCCCGCUGACAGGUCGGACCCACCAGCUAUAUCUUCGCACGCAAGGAAGUGCCUCCUUAUUGCGCACCAAAAAAUGAAUACCCCCUGCUAGCUGGGACCCACCAUAGUGGGUGGCUGACUUGUGGGCCUACUAAGUUGACGAGGACGGAGGGCUUUGCCAACUUAGACAAUAUGAACGAUUCUAGCUCCAGUGACCGUACGAUGUCCAUCCAACGGCCAUAGUGCUUCUUCAACCUCUGGUUUCUUCUUGCUCCAGCCGCCCAAAGCAGCGCCGGUCGUGCCGCGUGCUCCUGCCUCUCAUGGUCGGCUGUGAUGUCGCGGAGGCCUCACAGCCCCCUACUACUCCCACCGCUGCCCAGGGUAUCCCUCUACUCACCCAUACCCCCUGUUAUUCUGCGGCGACGGCAGCCUCACGCCGCAGCCGAACCAGUGAACCCUCGUACUCCUCUCCGCGUGGGCAUCCACUACCGCGUCUUCCCCGGCUCCGCGUCGUCCCCUUCCUAGGCCUCGCCGUCGUCUACCGCCUUGGUGCUCUCAGCGCGGCGUGGUCAAUGUGGUCAACGACCGACUUCCAUCGGAAGAGUACUGUACGUGGAGAGGCUGACAGCUGGGUCCACGGCCACAGCCCAGUUUUUUUGUGAUUUGCCAAGUAAGUCGCUUUGUCAGGCCUGUUGGGCUGCAAAUCUUUCAAGACGAGGAGAGCUUCAUUCGGCUGGCCGAGAAAAUGGCCUAUCAGUAAUGAGAAAUGGGAUGUACAUUUUUAAAACAUAUCAAACCGGCAAUUAGUUUCAAAUAUCUUUUUUUCAUUUCGAGAUUUUAAAUUACAUUAAUUUUUAUGCGUGGAGAAUUUGUUGGAUUUUAUAUUGAUAUACAUUUAUUUUUAAAAUCUGUUUGAAUGUGAGUCGAAAUUUCGGGAUUAAAAACAGUUCGGACCGCACCGAAAUAUGCAAAAUUUCGUAUAAUUUUUUAACCGUGGCCACAAUAUGGGCUGUAAUGCUAACAAAAAGAAUAUGGGCUCCAAAAAAAACCUUAAUAAUUAGCAAAUGGGCUGUAAAUUAUUAGAAAUAAUGACAGAUGGGAUGUAUGCUGUUUUCCACAGAUUUGAGGCUUUCCUAAAAAAAAGGUUGACGCACAAGCAGUGACUGUUGGAUGGCCAUCCAACGGCCGUCAUGCUUCUUCAAUCUCUGCUCUUCCUGCUCCAACCGCUCAAACAAGCGCCGGCGGGACUGCCUGCUCCCUCGUCCCCGCGGCCGGCUGUGCUGCCGCGCAGGCCUCACCGCCCCACCGUACUCCCAUCGCUGGCCUAGCCAUCCCUCUACUCACCCACACCUGCUGUUAUUCUCCGGCGACGGCAGACGAACCAGUAAACCCUCGUACAGUCGCACUCCCCUCCGCGUGGGAAAUAACUGUCGAGUCUUCCCUGCCUCCGUGUCGUUCCCUUCCUAGGCCUCGCCGUCGUCCACCGCCCUGGUGCUCUCGGCGCGGCCUGGUCAAUGUGGUCAACGACCGACAUGCAUCUGAAGUGGACUGUACGUGGAGAGGCCGGCAGCUGGGUCCACGGCCGCACGCAAGGAAAUGCCUUCUUAUUACGCGCAAAAUAAUGAUUCCUCCACCUGACAUCAGGGACCCACCGAAAGGGCCUCUGUAUUUCGUGAAAACACAUUACCGUUGCUGACAGCUCGGACCCACCAGCUAUAUCUUCGCACGCAAGGAAGUGCCUCCUUAUUACGCACACAAAAAAUGAAUACUCCCCCUGUUAGCUGGGACCCAGUAUAGUGGCAGGCUGACUUGUGGGCCUACUAAGUUGACGGGGACGGAGGGCUUUGUCAACUUAGUCAAUAUGCACGAUUCUAGCUCCAGUGACCGUACAAUGUCCAUCCAACGACCGUAGUGCUUCUUCAACCUCUGGUCUUCUUGCUCCAGCCGCCCAAACCAGCGCCUGUCGUGCCUCGUGCUUCUGCCUCCCGUGGCCGGUUGCGAUGCGGCGGAGGCCUCACCGCCCCCUACUACUCCCACCGCUGGCCAGGCCAUCCCUCUACUCACCCACACCCCCUGUUAUUCUGCGGCGACGGCAGCCUCACACCGCAGCGAACCAGUGAACCCUCGUACUCCUCUACGCGUGGGCAUCCACUGUCGCGUCUUCCCCGGCUCCGCGUCGUCCCCUUGCUAGGCCUCGCCGUCGUCCACCGCCCUGGUGCUCUCGGCGCGGCGUGGUCAAUGUGGUCAAGGAACGGCUUCCAUCGGACGUGGACUGUACGUGGAGAGGCUGACAGCUGGGUCCACGGCCGCAGCAAGGAAGUGCCUCCUUAUUACAUGCAAAAUAAUUAUUACUCCACCUGACAGCUGGGACCCACCGGACGGGCCACCGUAUUUUGCAAAAAAAUGUUUGCCCCUGGCUGCUGGGACCCACCAGCUACAUCUUCGCACGCAAGGAAGUGCGUCCGGGCAAAAACAACAAUUCGCCCCCCUGGCUGCUGGGACCCACCAGCUACAUCUUCGCAGGCAAGGAAGUGCCUGACAGUCGGGACCCACCUGGUCGAAGGGUACGUAGCGUUGUCAUUCUGGUCGCGAACGUGUACGUACAUAUAUACUGGUGGAUGUAGAGGCGCGCACGUGUCGUAGUAGAGGCGCGUACGUGUCCUAGUAGAGGCGCGCACGUAGCAUGUACACGUACGUACAGCGGCCAGGGUGCAAGAAAGAAAAUACGGCCACGUAUGUGUAUAUACGGGCGGGGUCUCGAACGCCUACUCGCGCAUACGUACGGCCAGGGCUCGUGUACAUGGCUGGGUCGGAACAGAGAAACAGCGUCGUCGUCGUGUUCAUGGGGAGGCAACGGAAUGCGUCGUGUUCAUCGAGAGGCAAUGGAACGCGUGGGAGCCAACCGGCUGGGUCGGAACGGAAUGCGUCCUCGUGUUCAUCGGGAGGGCUUGGACGGAACAGCCGAUGGAAAUGUGGCCUGGCGUACCGCAGAACGGAGGAAACGGCCUUGUGUUCGACCAGCCACGUUUGAAACGGGAUCCUGUUCAUCGGGAGGGGUCUGGCGUACCGCAAAACGGAGGAAACGGACCUCCUACGGUCGAAACGGUGGUCCUGUUGAUCGGGAGGGGUGUGGCAUACCGCAAAACGGAGGAAACGGACUUGUGUUGGAGCGCUACGGUCGAAACAGGGGUCCUGAUCAUCGGGGGGGUGUGGCAUACCGCAAAACGGGACUCCACGGGACACUGUUCAUCUCCACCGUCGACCCCCUCCAGCCUCCACGGGCUACUGUUCAUCCACCGUCGACCUCCUCCAGCCUUCACCUGCGACUGUUCAUCCACGGGCUCCUGUUCAUCCAGCCUCCACCACGCGCUACUCCACCGGCUACUGUUCAACUAGCCCUCUCCACGGGCUCCCGUUCAACCACCCCUCCACGGGCUACUGUUCAUCCAGCCCUCCACCGUCUACUGUUCAUUCUGCCCUCCACGGGGUGGUCCUGUUCAUCCUGCCCUCCACGGGGUCCUGUUCAUCCAGCCCCAACCGGCUCGAUCGAUCGGGGUCCUGUUCAUCCAGAGGCAACACCACGGGGUCCUGUUCAUCCACCCCCACCGGGAACUGUUCAUCCAAACNNNNNNNNNNNNNNNNNNNNNNNNNNNNNNNNNNNNNNNNNNNNNNNNNNNNNNNNNNNNNNNNNNNNNNNNNNNNNNNNNNNNNNNNNNNNNNNNNNNNNNNNNNNNNNNNNNNNNNNNNNNNNNNNNNNNNNNNNNNNNNNNNNNNNNNNNNNNNNNNNNNNNNNNNNNNNNNNNNNNNNNNNNNNNNNNNNNNNNNNNNNNNNNNNNNNNNNNNNNNNNNNNNNNNNNNNNNNNNNNNNNNNNNNNNNNNNNNNNNNNNNNNNNNNNNNNNAGCAUCGAUCGGCUUCAGUUAGCAGCAGUAGCGAAGGAAUCGCUCGAUCGGGUUCAGUUAACAGCCAUCGAUCGAUCGCUCGGGUUCAGUAACGCGUAGCCUACAGUGCAAUCGCUCGGGUUCAGUUAGAGCCCAACGCCUCGCUCGGGUCCAGUUAGAGCCAACGACUCACACACACGCGCGUACGUGUACGAGAGAAACGCGCAUCGCUCGGCCCCCGACCUCCCACCGUAACCGGGAACUCCCCGAAAUUUUCCUCGCCCUCGCUUCUAUCAUGUUUUUUUCCGUCAUGGACGGCCCAAAGAAUGUAAUGCAGCUGCGUCUCCGGCCCGCCCAGGACGAAAAGCCCAUUUUUUGUCAUAGAAGUAGGAGCCCACCACAUCUAUGAUGAUACCGGGUUUUGUCACAAUUAUCGUCAUAGAAGUGUCAUAUGUAUGACAGAAAAAAAAUUCGUUCGGCCCAAAGUGUCACGGAUGUGUCUUUUUUUUGUAGUGCGGUGAGAUCGAGGACCGCGAGGAACCGUGCAUGGGGGGACAGAGGAACUAUUGUAGCUAGAUAAUUUUUUAUUCUAUCUGUGAUCUUAAUUUCUAGACAGCCACAACAACCUCACUUUGCUAGAGGAGUGAAUGCACAAUCCCACUAAGACUCAUAUAGUUCAUUUAAUAAAACAUAUAGCAAGCUAAGUUAAUAACUAUCUCUAGGUGCUACAUCUACAUACCAUCCACCUUGUUGAGUUGUGAUCUCAUUUAUUUCUUCCUACCGCCUAUUGCGCGUGUGUAUAUGGCUAUAUAUAUCGCUCACAUCCGACAUGGUUUAUACAAGCACCCAAGAAGGUAACCAACACGGAUAGUGNNNNNNNNNNNNNNNNNNNNNNNNNNNNNNNNNNNNNNNNNNNNNNNNNNNNNNNNNNNNNNNNNNNNNNNNNNNNNNNNNNNNNNNNNNNNNNNNNNNNNNNNNNNNNNNNNNNNNNNNNNNNNNNNNNNNNNNNNNNNNNNNNNNNNNNNNNNNNNNNNNNNNNNNNNNNNNNNNNNNNNNNNNAUAUGCAACACGUGUUGUACGACGCACACAUUAGAUGUGGGAGGUAUUAGGAAAAGAUCAGCGUGUAGAUAGUUCAGUGCUAGCGAUGCAUCUAGUCUGCACCAUCAGCAUUCAAUGUGGUGAUGCAUAUCGAUACAAAUGAUAGAAUGGCACACAAAAUGAUUUUGAAGUUGAACCCAAAGUCGUCAUUCUAGACUCUAGAGAUUGCAACUGUGAUAUCUACGCAAUUCAAGAACUAUAUCACCCAAUCCUUAAUGAAAGAACUUUUACAUGUGUGUAAACAUUUUCUUUUAGAAACUCACAAAUCUUAAUUCAAUAUAUAUAAUUUUUUAUUGCAUGUAUAUCUUUUUGGAUUUUUAUUCUUUUCAUUAAUGAAUAUUGGUUUUGAAUUGAUAUUUGUAUCAUACUAUUCAAAAUAGUAAACAUGAAGAAAUCUUUCAAUUGACGGCCAAAUAUGAAAUGAUAGAUAUAUUUUUUUCCUAACUUUUAAAAUAGUUGUUAGGAAUUUAUUUUUUAACAAUGCAAGAUAGGCGCUUCGUCAAUUUCAUUAAGACAAGAAAAAAAGGAGCUACGGAAACUACAUGACGGUUGUCAUAGCCAACCUAUGCUGCUCAAGGUCCACUUUUACAAGAAACACAACAUCAAUCACAAUGAGGAGGGAGGGGUUCCGAAAAAUAUGACGCUAACACAUGGUACUCCCUCCAUUUCUUUUUUAGCCUGCAUAUAAAAUUUGGUCAAAGUAAAACUCUAUAAAGUUUGAUUAACUUUAUAUUGAACAAUGUCAACAUUCAAAAAAUGAAAUCCAUAUUAUUAGAUGCAUUAUGAAAUGAAUUUUCAUACUAUAUAAUUUUGUAGAUGUUGAUAUUUUUAAUAUAAAUUUGGUCAAACUUCGCGUAGUUCGACUUCAAACAAAUUUUACAUGCGGAGUAAAAAGAAACGGAGGGAGUACAUGAGAAUCUUGCUAAAAGUUGCACUUUAUUGAGUCAAGGAGUUGAAUGUGCUCGUUUCACCAUACCUCCAGGGAGGUGAAAACUGACGUUAGGUUUGUAAUGAACGAAAGCUAGCCCGCAACUAUGCCCCAAACGCCCCAAAUAAAACGGCAUCCACACAGGAGGUGCGUGUUAGUUUCAAACUCUAUGAGGCACAGGCUACACACCUCCUCAAGAGGCCAACCCCGGACAUUGUGACGAUCCACGAUAAGAGCUUUUCGAUGCAGAAGGGGCCAAAUAAAGAGCUUGCACUUGGGUGCGGCGCUUACCUCCCACGUCUUCUUUACCUCCACUUAGGUUUAGCUACCUUCUAGAAGAGUACGUGGAUCGGAGGGUCACCGCUAUGCACGGCCUCCCCGGCACUCUUCAGACACGCGCGGCGCGAAAGCAGAAUUGUGGCUGAGGCCUUAAAUAAUGAUUAGUGGAUUCUUGAUCUAGAGCAUGGAAACAGAACGGAAAUCAUGGCCGACUUUCUGAGACUGUUGCUCUUGUUGCACAAUACAAACAUACAUAUCAACGAAAAUGAGAGCGCGACGGAAUCAAAUGGAUAGAGGGAAAGGAGGGCUGUUACUCUGCAAGCUCUGCCUACAAAAUGCAGUUUCAGCAGACCGUGCCGACCAGCUUUAAACCUCUGAUCUGGAAGGUUUUGGCCCCUGGAAAAGUGAAGAUGUUUAUGUGGUUGUUGCACAACAACGGACUGAUCGUUGGCAGAGGAGAGGAUGGCCCAAUGAGUAUUUUUGCCCGCUUUGUCUCCCAAACUUGGAAACUUUCAUGCACCUCAUAUGGAGAUGAAGCAUAUUUCAUUAUGGAAUUAUGUAAGUGGUUUUCAUAAUAUUUUAUUUAAAACUAGUAUGUAUGUACAAUUUUAAGUAGAAAUAAGUGUAUUAAUGGUUGCAUCAGUAGGCGGCCAAAGCGUGGAUCGUGCUUCUACCCGCAAACAAACUAUGUAGUGGAUCGUGCUUCCGAGGGCAUGGCCAUCAGCUAUCCAGCUCAUAUGAACAUGCUGCUUGCUAGUAGACCAAAAGCGGGCUCCUGCAGAAGAACCCGUCUCUUGGCUGACAAAAGCGAGAGAAAGGGGAAAAAGCAAGAGAAAGCCUCGUGCCCCUUACUCGAGUAAAUAAUAUAGGAUGGGUCCCACUAAGAGGGUGGCCAGCGUUGAGUAAUCAAUGUCACAACGGUGGUCUCGUCUUCUCUAGAGAUGGAGUGCACUGGGGCAGCACCUGGUGCUGCUACCAUUGCUCAUGCCCUGAGUUCUGACGAUCAGACUAGGCUCACGGCAGUAGUACGCCACAAACGCCCAUCACUGCACGGCACGCACAGCCGAUGGAGAUGGCCGACCACCUGCAGCUGCAACAACGAGUGUCGCCGCCCCACCACCGGCCCUCCCGUGCUGCCACGAAGUCCCGGACACGUGUACUGCCUGCCUCCGUGCUACUGCUACAGCUACAGCGAGAUGGACCCUGAACUUCGAACCGGAUUCAGACUGAACUAAUACGCCAAGGUUUGAGGGAGCGGUCGCAUCUCUGUUUCACUUUCACGCAGAUUAGCUUUCGGACAGAACGCACAUUAGCACUGACAAAUCACAGGCAGUAACAACAAGAACAAGAUUGCGAGCUGCAAUCCAUUCCAACCAGAUCCACCACCAACAUCGAUGACACACCAACCCAAACAUUCACAAGGACCAUACUAAUCUAAUCUAAAACUCCUGGGAAGCGGAGCCGAUGUCGCCCUUGCCCUUGCCGGCCUUCUUGGGGAGCAGCGUGGUGUGGAUGCUGGGCAGCACCCCGCCGGCGGCGAUGGUGACCGAGCCCAGCAGACGGCUCAGCUCCUCGUCGUUGCGCACCGCCAGCUGGAUGUGGCGCGGCACGAUGCGGUUCUUCUUGUUGUCCCGCGCCGCGUUGCCGGCGAGCUCCAGGGUCUGAAUCAGAGAAACAAGAAACUGUGAGAUUGAGGAACAGUGCGCGCGGGGAACAGAGUUACAAGAAAAGGGGGAAAGGAGGAGCCGGGGAGAGGACGCGUACCUCUGCGGCGAGGUACUCAAGGACGGCGGCGAGGUAUACGGGGGCGCCGGCGCCGACGCGCUGCGCGUACUUGCCGACCUUGAGGUACCUGGCGACGCGGCCGACGGGGAACUGGAGGCCGGCCUUGGACGACCGGGACACGGACUUCGCGGUGGCUGCGGGCUUCGCCUUGCCCCUCCCACUGCCGGCAAUGGCCAUCUUCGGAUUCGCGGUGUACGGUGGAGGCGCUGGUGCGGUUGUCGGAGCAGAGAUGGCCGGGAUCUGGGAGAUGGCGGAGGGCGCAGGGUGUGCUUGAGAUGGUUGAGCAGAGGGGGCGGUGUUAAAUUAUAAAGAGAAGGGGAGGCGGCUCGUGAUUGGUUGGGAGGGCGAGGCCGCGGAUCGGUGACGUGGAGGGCGGAGGCAGAAACUUC